CCUACGGGAGGCAGCAGUGGGGAAUAUUGCACAAUGGGCGAAAGCCUGAUGCAGCAACGCCGCGUGAGGGACGACGGCCUUCGGGUUGUAAACCUCUUUUAGUAGGGAAGAAGCGAAAGUGACGGUACCUGCAGAAAAAGCACCGGCUAACUACGUGCCAGCAGCCGCGGUAAUACGUAGGGUGCAAGCGUUAUCCGGAAUUAUUGGGCGUAAAGAGCUCGUAGGCGGUUUGUCGCGUCUGCUGUGAAAACUGGGGGCUCAACCCCCAGCCUGCAGUGGGUACGGGCAGACUAGAGUGCGGUAGGGGAGAUUGGAAUUCCUGGUGUAGCGGUGGAAUGCGCAGAUAUCAGGAGGAACACCGAUGGCGAAGGCAGAUCUCUGGGCCGUAACUGACGCUGAGGAGCGAAAGCAUGGGGAGCGAACAGGAUUAGAUACCCUGGUAGUCCAUGCCGUAAACGUUGGGAACUAGAUGUAGGGACCAUUCCACGGUUUCUGUGUCGCAGCUAACGCAUUAAGUUCCCCGCCUGGGGAGUACGGCCGCAAGGCUAAAACUCAAAUGAAUUGACGG
rnacentral:rRNA from 1 species